rnacentral:rRNA from 1 species
GAUGAACGCUGGCGGCGUGCCUAAUACAUGCAAGUCGAGCGAACGGACGAGAAGCUUGCUUCUCUGAUGUUAGCGGCGGACGGGUGAGUAACACGUGGAUAACCUACCUAUAAGGCUGGGAUAACUUCGGGAAACCGUAGCUAAUGCCGGAUAAUAUUUUGAACCGCAUGGUUCAAAAGUGAAAGACGGUCUUGCUGUCACUUAUAGAUGGAUCCGCGCUGCAUUAGCUAGUUGGUAAGGUAACGGCUUACCAAGGCAACGAUGCAUAGCCGACCUGAGAGGGUGAUCGGCCACACUGGAACUGAGACACGGUCCAGACUCCUACGGGAGGCAGCAGUAGGGAAUCUUCCGCAAUGGGCGAAAGCCUGACGGAGCAACGCCGCGUGAGUGAUGAAGGUCUUCGGAUCGUAAAACUCUGUUAUUAGGGAAGAACAUAUGUGUAAGUAACUGUGCACAUCUUGACGGUACCUAAUCAGAAAGCCACGGCUAACUACGUG